rnacentral:rRNA from 1 species
GCGUGAGUGAAGAAGGCCUUAGGGUUGUAAAGCUCUUUCAACUGUGAAGAUGAUGACGGUAGCAGUAGAAGAAGCUCCGGCUAACUCCGUGCCAGCAGCCGCGGUAAUACGGAGGGAGCUAGCGUUGUUCGGAAUUACUGGGCGUAAAGAGUACGUAGGCGGCUUUGUAAGUUAGGAGUGAAAUCCCCGGGCUCAACCUGGGAACUGCUCUUAAGACUGCAGAGCUUGAGGACGAGAGAGGAAAGUGGAAUUCCUAGUGUAGAGGUGAAAUUCGU